rnacentral:rRNA from 1 species
CAGUCGCCACGGGAAUACAGAGGGUGCGAGCGUUAAUCGGAUUUACCGGGCGUAAAGCGUGCGUAGGCGGCUUCUUAAGUCGGAUGUGAAAUCCCUGAGCUUAACUUAGGAAUUGCAUUCGAUACUGGGAAGCUAGAGUAUGGGAGAGGAUGGUAGAAUUCCAGGUGUAGCGGUGAAAUGCGUAGAGAUCUGGAGGAAUACCGAUGGCGAAGGCAGCCAUCUGGCCUAAUACUGACGCUGAGGUACGAAAGCAUGGGGAGCAAACAGGAUUAGAUACCCCCGUAGUCCCUGUCUCUUAUAU